rnacentral:snRNA from 1 species
CUCGAGGGUGCAGCCUGCG